rnacentral:lncRNA from 1 species
UACUCACAAUGCAAUUAAUAACCAGGUGUCCUCCCUAUUUAACACAGAGAGGACUUCGAAGAUUAACCUACAAAUUGAAGUAGAAGGGGACUAUUUCUCCAGUAACAAGCAGCAAAAGAAAAUAAAGUACUUAUUAGCCUGGGAUGACAAAGAGGGAAUUCAACUUAAGAGAAUUCUGCAAGUGGAAAGAGCAUGCACCCCGCUUGGGGGUUAGCCCACGAAACAAAUGAUCAAUUUAAAGUAGGCACAGAA